rnacentral:tRNA from 1 species
GGGCCUAUAGCUCAGCUGGUUAGAGUGCACGCCUGAUAAGCGUGAGGUCGAUGGUUCAAGUCCAUUUAGGCCCA